rnacentral:rRNA from 1 species
CCUCGUUCCAUGUUGCCAGCACGUCGUGGUGGGGACUCAUGGGAGACUGCCGGGGUCAACUCGGAAGAAUGUGAAGACGACGUCAAAUCAUCAUGCCCCUUAUGUCUUGGGCUUCACGCAUGCUACAAUGGCCGGUACAAUGGGUUGCGAUACUGUGAGGUGGAGCUAAUCCCAAAAAGCCGGUCUCAGUUCGGAUUGGGGUCUGCAACUCGACCCCAUGAAGUCGGAGUCGCUAGUAAUCGCAGAUCAGCAACGCUGCGGUGAAUACGUUCCCGGGCCUUGUACACACCGCCCGUCAAGUCACGAAAGUUGGUAACACCCGAAGCCGGUGGCCUAACCCUUGUGGGGGGAGCCGUCGAAGGUGGGACCAGCGAUUGGGACUAAGUCGUAACAAGGUAGCCGUCACCGGAAGUG